AACGAACGCUGGCGGCAUGCCUAACACAUGCAAGUCGAACGAACCCUUCGGGGUUAGUGGCGCACGGGUGCGUAACGCGUGGGGAUCUGCCCAAAGGUUCGGAAUAACUCAGAGAAAUUUGAGCUAAUACCGGAUAAUGUCUUCGGACCAAAGAUUUAUUGCCUUUGGAUGAACCCGCGUAGGAUUAGCUUGUUGGUGGGGUAAAGGCCUACCAAGGCGACGAUCCUUAGCUGGUCUGAGAGGAUGAUCAGCCACACUGGGACUGAGACACGGCCCAGACUCCUACGGGAGGCAGCAGUGGGGAAUAUUGGACAAUGGGCGAAAGCCUGAUCCAGCAAUGCCGCGUGAGUGAUGAAGGCCUUAGGGUUGCAAAGCUCUUUUACCAGGGAUGAUAAUGACAGUACCUGGAGAAUAAGCUCCGGCUAACUCCGUG
rnacentral:rRNA from 1 species